GGUUCGGUCGCCGGUGCUCUUGACUGGCCGUCUGUUGCAAGUGGUCAGCAGCAGGAGUCAUUUGUGCACAGCGGAGAUGACGGGGAACGGAAUAGCGGGGCACCCCAGUACCACUGAGAAACACCAAGAGUGGAGUGCCUUCCUUGGGCCUGGGGUGCCUGAGCUGAGAACCUCCUAGUCUCAGGACUGCGGAGACAUGUGGACAUCACCAAGGAAUGCUGCGCCUGCAGACGUCGUGGAAAGGGGACAGACAGCCCUUCCUUCAAAAACGACAGAAAAACCUUCCCGGAGAGCUGGUGCCCAGAAUUUGGAUUUCUAGCCCCUGAACUUGGAGAGAACAUGCUUGUCUGCUGGCGGGGCCCUGUGGUGCUCCUGGGAGAGCAGCCCUAGAUGGCAGCGACAGCGUGCCUUUUGUUUUGUUUUACCAAGUGUAUAUACUACUUUGACGAUGAAAACCGGGUUAAGUGAUUUUUAAAGCCCUUUUACAACCACAGCUUUUUGGACCCCUUCA